rnacentral:rRNA from 1 species
UACGGGGGGAGCAAGCGUUGUUCGGAUUUACUGGGCGUAAAGGGCGCGUAGGCGGCCACCGCAAGUCGACUGUGAAAUCUCCGGGCUUAACCCGGAAAGGUCAGCCGAUACUGCGGGGCUAGAGUGCAGAAGGGGCAACUGGAAUUCUCGGUGUAGCGGUGAAAUGCGUAGAUAUCGAGAGGAACACCGAUGGCGAAGGCAGGUCUCUGGGCCGAUACUGACGCUGAGGAGCGAAAGCGUGGGGAGCGAACAGG